GGGGAUGUAGCUCAGUGGAAGAGUACUUGCCUGGCAUGCUUGAGGGUCCUGGGUUUGAUCCCCAGCACCA
rnacentral:tRNA from 1 species